rnacentral:rRNA from 1 species
AUUGAACGCUGGCGGCAUGCUUUACACAUGCAAGUCGAACGGCAGCACGGGGGCAACCCUGGUGGCGAGUGGCGAACGGGUGAGUAAUGCAUCGGAACAUACCCAGUCGUGGGGGAUAACGUAGCGAAAGUUGCGCUAAUACCGCAUACGUCCUGAGGGAGAAAGCGGGGGAUCGCAAGACCUCGCGCGAUUGGAGUGGCCGAUGUCAGAUUAGCUAGUUGGUGGGGUAAAGGCCCACCAAGGCGACGAUCUGUAGCGGGUCUGAGAGGAUGAUCCGCCACACUGGGACUGAGACACGGCCCAGACUCCUACGGGAGGCAGCAGUGGGGAAUUUUGGACAAUGGGGGCAACCCUGAUCCAGCCAUGCCGCGUGCGGGAAGAAGGCCUCGG